UUUUCAGAAGUUUUUGGUGAGCCAACCCUCACAAAACUUCCUAAAAACUAAAAGAGCUAUUACUGAGUCUCAGUGAAUCUUGCCAUGAUCAGCUCUUCCCAGAAGAGAAGGAAGACCAAGGAAAUGAUUUGCUCAGGAUGAGGAAUGAAGACGGCCAUCUUGUGCUCAAACAAACAGAAGUCCACUGAUGAUCUCAUCAGCCAAAUGAGGGGUUUUGAUCAAGUGAUGCUCUUGAAAGGAGUGAAAGAAGAGGAUGUGGUAAAUUGUCUUCAGAGAAAAAGCUUCUCAAAAGGUCUUAAAGCAGCUUGAAGAAUGGUCUGGGAUGUUAGGACUGAGAGAUCCUCUGGCUGAGAACAAGCUACACCACAUCGGUGCUGGAUAUCAACCACAAACUAUUUCCAGACACAAGAGAAGAAGAUCACGAUGGGGAGAUGAAACCAGUUUAGAUGU